UAUCUCUGUAGAGUCUGCAUAUCAAUAAGCGGAGGAAAAGAAACUAACUAGGAUUCCCUCAGUAACGGCGAGUGAAGCGGGAAGAGCUCAAAUUUGAAAUCUUCAAGGUUCUACCUUGACGAAUUGUAGUUUAAAGAAGUGUUUUCUGUUGGAGUUUUGGUAAAAGUUCUUUGGAAUAGGACAUCAUAGAGGGUGAGAAUCCCGUAUUUGACCAUUACUUCCAGCUUUGUGAUACACUUUCAAAGAGUCGGAUUGUUUGGGAAUGCAGUCCAAAAUGGGUGGUAAAUUUCAUCUAAAGCUAAAUACUGGCGAGAGACCGAUAGCGAACAAGUACCGUGAGGGAAAGAUGAAAAGAACUUUGAAAAGAGAGUUAAACAGUACGUGAAAUUGUCAAAAGGGAAGCGUUUGACACCAGUGUUGUUUUCUCGAAAAUCAAUUAAAAAAGGCAGGAUUUUGUGUUGUAUUGACUUUAUCAGCUUUCUGCACUCUUUUCUUGUCUUUUUUAAUGCACUUUUCGUUUAACAAGUCAACAUCAAUUUCUUUUGUUGUAAAAGGGUCAUUGGAAGGUGGCUUUCUUUUCGGAGAAAGUGUUUAUAGCCUUUGGCCUCUGCAAUCGGAGAGAUUGAGGUCUGCAGCGUAGAUCCUUCGGGGUUAGAUACAUUUGUGCUAAGUUAUAGCCUUUCAUAGACAACUUGUUGACUAUGAUCAGUCAUGUAGCUUACUCGCUUAUGCUAUUUUACCUACGCUUAGGAUGUUGAAGUCAUCGUAUCGCGC
rnacentral:rRNA from 1 species